AGUGAACGCUGGCGGUAGGCCUAACACAUGCAAGUCGAACGGCAGCACAGUAAGAGCUUGCUCUUACGGGUGGCGAGUGGCGGACGGGUGAGGAAUACAUCGGAAUCUACUUUUUCGUGGGGGAUAACGUAGGGAAACUUACGCUAAUACCGCAUACGACCUACGGGUGAAAGCAGGGGAUCUUCGGACCUUGCGCGAUUGAAUGAGCCGAUGUCGGAUUAGCUAGUUGGCGGGGUAAAGGCCCACCAAGGCGACGAUCCGUAGCUGGUCUGAGAGGAUGCUAACCAACCGGGGAAGGGAGACACGGCCAAGACUCCUCGGGGAGGAAGCAGGGGGGAAUAGGGGACAAGGGGGGAAAGCUUGACCCAGCAAGCGGGGGUGGGAGAAAACGGCUUCGGGUUGGAAAACACUUUUUUUGGGAAAAAAAAAGCAUAGGUUAAUGACCCAGCUUUUCUGACGGUACCAAAAAAAGAAGCACCGGCUAACUGCGUG
rnacentral:rRNA from 1 species